rnacentral:rRNA from 1 species
GACGAACGCUGGCGGCGUGCUUAACACAUGCAAGUCGAACGGAAAGGCCCUGCUUUUGUGGGGUGCUCGAGUGGCGAACGGGUGAGUAACACGUGAGUAACCUGCCCUUGACUUUGGGAUAACUUUAGGAAACUGGGGCUAAUACCGGAUAGGAGCUCCUGCUGCAUGGUGGGGGUUGGAAAGUUUCGGCGGUUGGGGAUGGACUCGCGGCUCAUCAGCUUGUUGGUGGGGUAGUGGCUUACCAAGGCUUUGACGGGUAGCCGGCCUGAGAGGGUGACCGGCCACAUUGGGACUGAGAUACGGCCCAGACUCCUACGGGAGGCAGCAGUGGGGAAUAUUGCACAAUGGGCGGAAGCCUGAUGCAGCAACGCCGCGUGCGGGAUGACGGCCUUCGGGUUGUAAACCGCUUUCGCCUGUGACGAAGCGUGAGUGACGGUAAUGGGUAAAGAAGCACCGGCUAACUACGUG